rnacentral:rRNA from 1 species
AUGGCUCCCAAGAUGAUCGGCGUGACCAUCUUGCUGGUGCUCCUGGCGCUGGCCCCGAGUGACGGCCAGGUGAUGCCAAUCCCCUGCUGCCGCCUCAACUGUUGUGAUGGCAGACCCGAGUGCUGCUCCCCUGGCCUCGUCGCCGCCGUGGCGCCCAUCGUACAGGCCGCCCCAAACGUAGCAGGGCCGGCCGCCGCCGGUGCCGCGUCUCGCAAUGUCUUCCCCUGA